GACGAACGCUGGCGGCGUGCUUAACACAUGCAAGUCGAACGAUGAACCCGGAGCUUGCUCUGGGGGAUUAGUGGCGAACGGGUGAGUAACACGUGAGUAACCUGCCCUGGACUCUGGGAUAAGCGUUGGAAACGACGUCUAAUACCGGAUAGGACCUUGUAUCGCAUGAUCUGGGGUGGAAAGUUUUUUCGGUCGGGGAUGGACUCGCGGCCUAUCAGCUUGUUGGUGGGGUAGUGGCUCACCAAGGCUUGGACGGGUAGCCGGCCUGAGAGGGUGACCGGCCGGACUGGGAGGGAGAGACGGACCAGACAGCUACGGGAGGGAGGAAUGGGGAAGAAUGAACGAAGGACGGGAGGAUGAUGCAGCAACGCCGCGUGCGUGAUGAAGGACUUCGGGUUGUAAGUAGCUUUCAGUAGGGAAGAAGGGCGUCGGCUUGACGGUACCUGCUGAAGAAGGACCGGCUAACUACGUG
rnacentral:rRNA from 1 species